AUCUUUUUUCCCAAGCGCUCCAGAAAAACUCAGAGCCCGACGCUUUUCUCCAGUCUGGGAGCUGCGAGCUGCGAGGCUGCCAGGACGCCUCCCGCACACGCCGGGGGCGACUCUGGGCUCCUCCACGGUCCCCCCGGGGCUGGCGGCCGCCGCGCCGCCGGCCUCCAAGGGGGUGUGUCCCCGCCCCGCCGCGGCCCGACACUCGCCGCCGCCGCGGGCCCACCUGCUGCCCUCGCCGCGCGGCCCGGCCCGGAGGCGGCCGCAGCCCCGCGGGGUCGAGUCCGCCCCCCGCCCGAGCACGAGGCCCCCGCCCCGGGGACCCGCCGCCCGCUUCCGGACGGGCCGAGCGACGGGAGCUCCAGCUGCUUCCUCCCCGCGGGCCACACCGCGAUCGGCCCCGCGGCCGGGACAACCUGCCCCUCUCCUGCGCCCACGCCCCCUCCGAGCGCCGGCGGCCCGGGGCAGACAAAAGCAGGCUCCCAGGCGCUCCCGGGCUUCGGCCCCGCGCCCCCGCUCGCGCGCCGGUCCGCGCCGGUCCGCGCCUUCCCUCCAGCUCCGCGCGCGGGCGGGGAGCCUGCGAGCGAGGGAGCGCGCCGGGGGAGGGGGCGAGGCGGAGGCAGAGCAUCCCCGCGCCACCGCCGCCGCCGCCGCCCGGCCGGGGGAGGCCUCGUCACAGCCGCCGCCUCGGCCGCGGCCGCAGAUCUCGCGGUGUUUGCCGGCCGUCGCGCCGCCAUAUUGUGUGACAGUAUUUUGAUUUGCACUGGGCUGGCGGAGCGGCGGCGAGAGCGAGCGAGAGCUGGGGGGGUGGGGGGAGGGCAGGCGAGCGCGAGGGGGGUGGGGGCCGAGGGAGGGCGGGAGGCCGAGCGAGCGGCGGCCGAGGAGCCACCCAGCCCGCGUUCGGGAGCCGCAGCAGCCGCCGGCGGGGCGCCCCAGCCCGACCCCCACCCCUCCCCCUCAGCCACGAGCGGCGGCGGCGGCGGCGGCGGCGGCCGGAGGGAGGUGGCGGCGGCGGCCGAGCGGAGGGGCUGA
rnacentral:lncRNA from 1 species